rnacentral:rRNA from 1 species
AACGUAGGAGACAAACGUUAUCCGGAGUUACUGGGCGUAAAGGGCGUGUAGGCGGUUCGUUAAGUCUGGCGUGAAAGCUCUCGGCUAAACCGGGAGAGGUCGUUGGAUACUGGCAAACUAGAGGACGGUAGAGGCGUGUGGAAUUCCGGGUGUAGUGGUGAAAUGCGUAGAGAUCCGGAGGAACACCAGUGGCCAAGGCGACACGCUGGGCCGUACCUGACGCUAAAGCGCGACAGCAUGGGGAGCAAGCGGG